UGCCUGAUCCCCGCCAGAUAGUAAGAGCUUAGCUCUAAAGAAAAGGAAAAUAAUGAUAAAACUUUUCUACUAAUCCUGACUAAUCUCGUGCCAGCAGUCGCGGUAAUACGAGGAGGAUAAGCGUAAUUCAUUAUAUCUAGGUGUAAAGGGUCUGUAGGCGGCAAAAAGCUAGAGUGUAAAAGAAGAAAGAGGAAUUAAAUAAGGAGGGAUGAAAUCUGUAGAUAUAAAUUAAGAACAUCAAAGGCGAAGGCAUCUUUCUAAUAAACACUGACGCUAAGAGACUAAAGUGUGGGUAGCGAAAAGGAUUAGAUACCCUAUUAGUCCACACCCUAAACUAUGAGUGUUAAACUUAACAGAAACACUCCACCUGGGGACUACUAUCGCAAGAUAGAAACCCAAAAGAAUAGACGGUCUUUAAGACCAGCAGUG
rnacentral:rRNA from 2 species